rnacentral:rRNA from 1 species
AACGAACGCUGGCGGCAGGCCUAACACAUGCAAGUCGAGCGGACCCUUCGGGGUUAGCGGCGGACGGGUGAGUAACGCGUGGGAAUAUGCCCUUCUCUACGGAAUAGUCCUGGGAAACUGGGGGUAAUACCGUAUACGCCCUUUGGGGGAAAGAUUUAUCGGGGAAGGAUUAGCCCGCGUUGGAUUAGGUAGUUGGUGGGGUAAUGGCCUACCAAGCCGACGAUCCAUAGCUGGUUUGAGAGGAUGAUCAGCCACACUGGGACUGAGACACGGCCCAGACUCCUACGGGAGGCAGCAGCGGGGAAUCUUAGACAAUGGGGGCAACCCUGAUCUAGCCAUGCCGCGUGAGUGAUGAAGGCCUUAGGGUUGUAAAGCUCUUUCAGCUGGGAAGAUAAUGACGGUACCAGCAGAAGAAGCCCCGGCUAACUCCGUG